GCGUUGUUCGGAUUCAUUGGGCGUAAAGGGUGCGUAGGUGGCGCGCUAAGUCAGGUGUGAAAUUUCGGAGCUUAACUCCGAAACUGCAUUUGAUACUGGUGUGCUUGAGGACUGGAGAGGAGACUGGAAUUUACGGUGUAGCAGUGAAAUGCGUAGAGAUCGUAGGGAAGACCAGUGGCAAAGGCGGGUCUCUGGACAGUCCCUGACACUGAGGCACGAAGGCCAG
rnacentral:rRNA from 1 species